rnacentral:rRNA from 1 species
UAGGGAAUCUUCCGCAAUGGGCGAAAGCCUGACGGGGCAACGCCGCGUGAGUGAAGAAGGAUUUCGGUUCGUAAAGCUCUGUUGUUAGGGAAGAAUGAUUGUGUAGUAACUAUACACAGUAGAGACGGUACCUAACCAGAAAGCCACGGCUAACUACGUGCCAGCAGCCGCGGUAAUACGUAGGUGGCAAGCGUUGUCCGGAAUUAUUGGGCGUAAAGCGCGCGCAGGUGGUUUAAUAAGUCUGAUGUGAAAGCCCACGGCUCAACCGUGGAGGGUCAUUGGAAACUGUUAAACUUGAGUGCAGGAGAGAAAAGUGGAAUUCCUAGUGUAGCGGUGAAAUGCGUAGAGAUUAGGAGGAACACCAGUGGCGAAGGCGGCUUUUUGGCCUGUAACUGACACUGAGGCGCGAAAGCGUGGGGAGCAAACAGGAUUAGAUACCCUGGUAGUCCACGCCGUAAACGAUGAGUGCUAAGUGUUGGUCUCAUAAGAGAUCAGUGCUGCAGCUAACGCAUUAAGCACUCCGCCUGGGGAGUACGACCGCAAGGUUG